GCACCGAAGCCUGUGGUCAGUUGGCCAUUAGGCAAUGUGGUGUUCAGGUCGUUCCGCAAAAACACUGCUCCACCCCAAGUCCAUUAAUGGGUACGGUAGUACAGACAUGGCCCACGGAGGGUGAAAGGCCCGUUCGGGUGGAGAUCCGGCAAGCCAGUGUUUCUCUGGGUAGACCUUGGAGUCGGGUUGUUUGUGAAUGCAGCCCAAAGCGGGUGGUAAACUCCAUCCAAGGCUAAAUACAAGCACGAGUCCGAUAGCGAACAAGUACCGUGAGGGAAAGUUGAAAAGUACUUUGAAGAGAGAGUUAACAGUGCGUGAAACCGCUCAGAGGUAAGCAGGUGGAGUUGAACUGCAAGCCUUGAGAAUUCAGCUGGUGAGGGUGAUUUGGUCUUGGGCCCUGAGGUACGUUCAAUUACGUGUCCCUUCCUUCGGGUUGGGGUGUGCGAUACACUUAUCAAGUGUUGCGCGCCUUGGGUGUUCGACGAGCUUCCUUGCCAGUGCACUUUCUCAAGGUGGUCACCACGACCGGCGCUGCCGUCAGACUGUUGCGGUCAAAUUGGCUUUCAAAUUUAAUCAGCCGGCCGGGAUGGUUCUGUGCGGUGCGUCGGAGACGGCGGCUAGUGGUGUGUGCAUGCGUGCCCGAUUUGCUGGCGUAUCCCGGUUUGGUUUCUGUGUUGCCUGUGUCAACAGGCCCAGUUAUGGCUGGGGUUCGUUCGGUGGAUGGUUGCGUGUGUGACACUUCCGAGGGCCAAUAGUCUGUGGUGUAGUGGUAGACUAUCCACCUGACCCGUCUUGAAACACGGACCAAGGAGAGUAACAUGUACGCGAGUCAUUGGGCGUAACGAAACCCACAGGCGCAGUGAAAGUAAAGGUCUGACUUGUUCAGACUGAGGUGAGAUCCUGUCGUUUCCGACGCCUGGCAUCCCCAGGCACGGAGCGGCAGGCGCAUCACCGGCCCGUCACAUGACGUAGUCUCGUCCUCGGAUGUGCAUCGUCGUGGCGGAGCAUGAGCGUACAUGUUGAGACCCGAAAGAUGGUGAACUAUGCUUGCGCAGGUUGAAGCCAGAGGAAACUCUGGUGGAGGACCGCAGCGAUUCUGACGUGCAAAUCGAUCGUCAAACG
rnacentral:rRNA from 1 species